rnacentral:lncRNA from 1 species
UUUUAGUUUUUUUUUUUUUUUAGAGAUAGGUAGCACGCUACCCGCUUCGUUUAUUUCAUUUAGAAAUAAACUUAGCUGGAAUGUGAAUCAAUUAGGAUUCGAAUUUGAGACCUCGGGUACCAACUACCAAGUCCUUUGCCAUUUGCGUUAGGGACAGUCGGUAAAUUUUUAGUAUUAAAGAAAAAAGUUAAUCAGUCUAGUGUAGAAAAUUAAUUUUUAGAUAGGAAAAUGUAAGAUUUACCAUUAUAUUUUAGGUAUAUAAGUAGCAUGGCUCGUUUAUUUUUUACGAAUGCAAAUUUUUACAGUAUGUACAUCAGAUUGAUUUCUUUUCUUUUUAAGAAAGAUAUCAAGUUAUUCAUUUUGUUUAUUUUUUUAGAAAUGAAGUUAAUGAGUAAUAUAAAAUGACUAGCCUUCAAAUUUGAGAUCUCGAAUAUUAACAGCUAAAUCUAUAGGUAAUUGUGCUAGGUAUCAGUA